AGCCGGUGCCCGCCUCUACCCCAAUGUCCAGAACCCAGAGAAGGCUGCAGCCCAAUGUACAAGUACUCUCACAUCAGAUCAGACAAGGUCUGUCCAACAAGAUGUGAACUCAAGUGCGAGUGCCCCGUCCCCCCUACCUGCCCUCCUGCCCCAUCGGCAGACUGUGUUACUAUAAAUAGAAAUAAGAUUAUCGACAACACGGAAUGUCCGUUCGGAUGCAUUCACCAGUGUUGUAAAAAGGAGGUCAAAUGUCCCAAGCCAGACCCGGCUAAUCCUUAUUGUGUCUCCACAUACACACAGUACAAGACAAUCAAUGGAAAGAAGUGUCCAAUCAGCUGUUUCUGUGUACCUGAUGUUUCAGUCGCCACAUUUAAGAAACGAUAAAGUACUAACCUUAUGAAGGCGGAUUUCUCCUGCUGUUGUUGUAUUCAUUGAAAUUAUAGGGCUAAUAUUUAUUGAUAAAUAAAGAAUUGAAAUAUC
rnacentral:misc_RNA from 1 species